GGAAUAUUGGACAAUGGGGGAAACCCUGAUCCAGCAAUGCCGCGUGUGUGAAGAAGGCCUGCGGGUUGUAAAGCACUUUCAGUAGAGAAGAAAAGCGCACGGUUAAUACCCGUGUGUCUUGACGUAACCUACAGAAGAAGCACCGGCUAACUCCGUGCCAGCGGCCGCGGUAAUACGGAGGGUGCAAGCGUUAAUCGGAAUUACUGGGCGUAAAGCGCGUGUAGGCGGCUUGGCAAGUCGGGUGUGAAAUCCCCGGGCUCAACCUGGGAACUGCAUUCGAUACUGCAUUGCUGGAGUAUGGGAGAGGGAAGUGGAAUUUCCGGUGUAGCGGUGAAAUGCGUAGAUAUCGGAAGGAACACCAGUGGCGAAAGCGACUUCCUGGACCAAUACUGACGCUCAGGUGCGAAAGCGUGGGGAGCAAAC
rnacentral:rRNA from 1 species